GUUUUUGGAAUCCUUUUCUCAUUUUUAUCACACUUGAGUUUUUGUCAAGGAAUCUUUAAAAACCAAAACACUUAAAUAUUUUUUCUUAUUUUUUUUUAAAGGUAUCUUAGAAGAUGGUAAUGUGGUUGCCGAUGAUUCUGAAUAAAUACAGCUUUUAUCCCAGGUGUGCCAUUCUGAAGACUGAGACAAUAGAGUUUUUAAGAAUAAAAGAGAACCCUUGGGAAAUUCUGUAUUGUAUAUAUCAAAAAUAUGAAUCCUGAGGUGGAAUGAAAGGCGUGUAUACUAUAGACAUCGAAGCAUUUACACCCAGCUUGAAGAGUUUGAAAUGGACUUUACCACUGAGAAAUCAAGAUGGCAGCCCAUUAUGGGGAAUUGAGGAAAAUGGAUUAAUGCAAGAAUGCUGUGAUAUUACACAACCAACACAGGAUUCUUUUAAUAUGGAUGCCAUGAAAUGAAUGAUUCUUACCCAACACAAAUGGACAGUGGAAUUUACUUCCUAAAGACUUGUUUCGUAUCAUGUACAUUUUUGACAUCUGGAGAAGAUGCUACAUUUCUACAAAUGGUAGUUUGUAUUCCUGUA
rnacentral:lncRNA from 14 species